AUUGAACGCUGGCGGCAGGCCUAACACAUGCAAGUCGAACGGCAGCACAGAAGAGCUUGCUCUUUGGGUGGCGAGUGGCGGACGGGUGAGUAAUGUCUGGGAAACUGCACGAUGGAGGGGGAUAACUACUGGAAACGGUAGCUAAUACCGCAUAACGUCGCAAGACCAAAGUGGGGGACCUUCGGGCCUCACACAAUCGGAUGUGCCCAGAUGGGAUUAGCUAGUAGGUGGGGUAAUGGCUCACCUAGGCGACGAUCCCUAGCUGGUCUGAGAGGAUGACCAGCCACACUGGAACUGAGACACGGUCCAGACUCCUACGGGAGGCAGCAGUGGGGAAUAUUGCACAAUGGGCGCAAGCCUGAUGCAGCCAUGCCGCGUGUAUGAAGAAGGCCUUCGGGUUGUAAAGUACUUUCAGCGGGGAGGAAGGCGGUGAGGUUAAUAACCUCGCCGAUUGACGUUACCCGCAGAAGAAGCACCGGCUAACUCCGUGCCAGCCGCCGCCGUAA
rnacentral:rRNA from 1 species